rnacentral:rRNA from 1 species
UACGUAGGUGACCAGCGUUGUCCGGAUUUACUGGGCGUAAAGAGCGCGCAGGCGGUCGUUCAAGUCGAGUGUGAAAGCCCCCGGCUCAACUGGGGAGGGUCACUCGAUACUGAUCGACUUGAAGGCAGGAGAGGGAAGCGGAAUUCCCGGUGUAGUGGUGAAAUGCGUAGAGAUGUGGAGGAACACCGAUGGCGAAGGCAGCCUUCUGGGCCAACACUGACGCUCAUGCACGAAAGCGUGGGGAGCAAACAGG